CUUAUUCACUUCUCAAUGAAAAUUCAUGUUGUUGGUCUCAUUCGACAGCUAAACCCUUUCUUGUUUCGAUGUUAAUUUGUCAAAAUUUACACAAAUCUGGAAAUAGAUGAUUUUUAGCUCAGAAGUGACAGACCGUAUUACCGGCAUAACAAUGAUGCGCCAUUUGCAAAGUUGCAACUUUCAACCGUCGUAGUUUUCUAAUGCACGAACAGAAAAAAUAUCUGCUUUAGAAUCAGAAAGCCAGUUACCCAGCCUAAUAAAUGCAUGCAAAGAUUUUGUUCCAAAACAUUUCGAUGUAGUAGAUUUUUAACUCUGAAAAAAGUGACGGAAUUCGUCAAAAUAGGCACGAAAAUGAGUGAUUUUCAGACUUGAAUAUCUUAUUCAAUCUUCGAUGUAAAUUCGUGUUCUUGGUCUCAUUCUAUAGCUAAACCCUUUCUUGUUUUAUGAUAAUUGUGUCAUAAUUUACAAUCUUAGGGAAAGACUUAAUUUCUAGCUCAGAAAUGACACACCACGGUAAACAACAAAAUGGCCGCUCCGUGACAACAAAGGUACAUGUUUGGGCGAUAAUUCUGCAAAAAGUAAACAAGAUACGCAACUGACAAUUUGAUACCACAAAGACAAAUGUCUCCGCUUUACAAUGAGACCAUUUUCGGCUUUCUGCGAUCAGAAUUGACUUCAAAACAUCGAUUUCAAAUUGCCCUGUCGUUCACCAUCUCCGAACUUUUUCUGGAAACCCAAGUCUAAAAUUAGACCGUAUUUUCCGAAAUCUGGGCGGUGACCUGGGUCACGUGGGGUCAAACGUGAGGUCAAACUAGGUUCAGCAAGGAGCGGGAGUAAUGGCUUUGCGCGCGAACGUAUUUCUGUGGAAUAAAAUCAUUUUCUUGUGCUUGCAGAUGGAGGGAGCUGAAAAAUCUUUAUGACAAAUUACAUCUCAGAAUGUCUGCCGUCGAAAACUACCAAGGAUGGACUGGGAUGGCAAUUACAGGAGACGAAAUCUGCAUGCAAAGCACUGUGAUGUGAUUUGUACAGGCCAAGAUGUCUCAAGUUUUACAACCAAUCAACCAUAUUGAAGUUUUGUGUGACAGAUUUUCCACAGCAAAAAAAUAAGAGCAUUGUUGUGAAGUGGUGAUCUGCCAAAGAUGUUACAGCAGUGGUGUGUGACAAAACUUCCAAAGGCACAAUUAUGAAAAGACAAUCAGGCUGUCAAACCGACAAGAUGCUAGAGCUCACAAUGUUGUCUGCAUUUUUGAUGACAGAACAGUGAUGUGUGCUUUUUAUUUUCGAAGAAGCAAAGAGAUAGACUCUGAUGUAUUUCAUAUUUACAUUUAUUGUUUUGUAUGAUACAAUUUGCCCGUACAAGUGGCUAUGCCCGUAAAAGAGGCACACUAUUGCUUGUUGUGUUUGUUAUCUGUCAGUAUAAAAAAGUAAUGUCAAUCUCCUGAGAUGAUGAUUUGUGCUGAUUCGUCUGUAUCAUAAGUCAUAUGGCUUGUCCCGUCUGUCCGAAAUUAUACUAUACCGACUCGUUUGCCAAGUACGCUGUCUUAAUGAAAUAUUGAUAGUACUUGGUAGACAAGUGCGGUCUAUCACAUCUCGGAGAAAUAUGAUACAUCAAGUAAGGAUCGUUGGCAAAUACAACGUGACACGUUAGGAAAAAUACAGUCAAGCUGAAAAACUUUUAAUAGAGUCUUACUUUUGAGAUAUUAGAUAAGGCAGAGUAAAACAAAAUUGAUUGCUGACUGAUCAUUUUUUUCCUGAACGUCUCAUUUUAUUUUUGCCAACGAGUCUUUCUCAUAUCCAACAGUACAUGCCAUUGCAUCGAACUGCAGUCAAACCUCUGAUACUGUAGUAUGAUGAAAAAGUAUAGCAUCAUGCAUCGUCUCAUUGCGAAUAAAGCGAUAACUCUUACAUACUUGAGAAUGACAGAGUUACAUCUUUUUGAAAACCAUUUGUCAACCUUUCGAGUAAGCUGUAAUACAAAAUCAUAAUAAGACUCGUAUCAAACUAUCAGAAUGCCAAAACAUGACCAUAAGGCUAUAUGAUAGCGAACGUUACUCAGAGAUUUGAAAUGCUUUUCGAUGCAAUAGUAUUCUAUCCCAGUCCUUACAUGGUGUUGAGCAUUUUUUCCUAGUCCCUUGUUUGGAUUUCUGAUCGGCAUGGGUUAAGUGUCAAUGUUGGUUGUAAUCGCCCGACUCUAUAUUUGGCGAGGCAGCGAAGCCAGUAUAGGGAAUUGCUUAACCCGACGCUGCGAGAAUUCAUGGAUAGGGAUUAGAUGCCUUUGCUCCGCCAAAGGGAAG